rnacentral:rRNA from 1 species
GACGAACGCUGGCGGCGUGCUUAACACAUGCAAGUCGAACGGAAAGGCCCUGCUUUUGUGGUGUGCUCGAGUGGCGAACGGGUGAGUAACACGUGAGUAACCUGCCCUUGACUUUGUGAUAACUUCAGGAAACUGGGGCUAAUACCGGAUAGGAUCUCCUGCUGCAUGGUGGUGGUUGGAAAGAUUCGGCGGUUGGGGAUAGUCUCGCGGCUUAUCAGCUUGUUGGUGGGGUAGUGGCUUACCAAGGCUUUGACGGGUAGCCGGCAUGGGAGGGUGACCGGGCACAUGAGGACUGAGAGAGGGAGCAGACUGCUACGGGCGGCAGCAGGGGAGAGUAUUGCGCAGUGGGCGGGAGCCUGAUGCAGCGGCGCCGCGUGCGGGAUGACGGCCUUCGGGUUAUGAACCGCUUUCGACUGUGACGAAGCGUGAGUGACGGUAAUGGGUAAAGAAGCACCGGCUAACUACGUG